ACGCCGGUAGCUCAGCUGGUAGAGCAGCGGAUUCCAAAUCCGCAGGUCGUGGGUUCGAUCCCCUCCCGGCGUG
rnacentral:tRNA from 1 species